CAGCACGGAGGAAGUUAGGCGUUCGACACUGUUAGGCAUUUGUUAGAUAUGUUGCUCAUCGAAAAUUUCGGAAAGCAUAAAUCAUAACCCCGAAAUUAUGCUGAGUGUUCGAUUUUUUCGCGCAUCGUUGACAGUUGCCGAAAAGGCAGUCAAAAAAAGCAACAAAGCAUCAGUUGGAAAUAAAAUCGGGUCCGUCGGUCGAGAAAAUAGAAAGACUUGCGCGUCCGGUUUGUUCUCGUCUUACUGUCGCCGGGACCAAAAUAAUCGCCGGAAUUGAUUACGGUAACGUUGUCGUUUGGUCGCGUCGUGUCGGUGGAGUCAUUAUGGGUACAACAUUUACCCGCUGAAACCGCAUUUCCCGUGUUCUUCCGGCAGUUGGAGGCUGGAGAAUGUUUGGAAGAUGGAACCGAUGAAGAAGAACCGUUUCGCGAACCCUCUGUGCCCGGAGGUUUACACGCGUUUCGAUGCUGCAGUGAUUGCAUUUGUAUAAGUGUUUGCGCUUCUUCCGGGGAUGGAAACAGUGAUUAGUUGUGUAGUUGGGUCUUCAAUUAGUCUAUUGGUUACGGCUAUGGUCCAGUUGGGAAAAUUUUCUCGUCUCCCUGGGGAAGGUGUAUCAUUGUGCUGGCUUCACAAUAUUGAAAUUCAUGCAAUGGGAGGCAAAGAAAGCCCUUCAAUUAAAAACUGUGGAAGUGCUCAAAGAAAUGAAAAAAAGAGAAGAAGGAAAAAUUGGAAAAAAAUAAAUAUUAGUAGUGAAAUGGUGUGAUAUUGAUGUUACCUAUUAAGUGAAUAACGGAAUACACCAAGUAUAUAUAUUAUAUAGCACUGAUGCUGUAAGACCGACAGCCGAAAAUAAUAUUCUGCACAGAACCACGGAGAGGUCGCGAUUACAUUCAGCUUUUAGUUGAGUAGGACCUAAGGGCACUCAACAUCCACGGGGAUAGAAACCAAUUGCGGUCCCAGUGGGUGGAGAAGCAUUCAUCACUUAGCGUGGGUUAAUCGGAGAGUUCAUCGUAUAGUCCAACAAGUAAGAAGUAAGUAAAUUUUCAUCUCUGCUUACGGAACUCUGGUGCAAUUCUGAAUGCGUUAAUAGGAUUAUUUUUAAAUUUUACUUGAUUUACGAAACGGUUUCCAUCGUUAAUUCUUAUGGAUCUCCUUGGAGCGAUUAUGAUUGCUAUAUUUAAAACUUGUUUAAAAUUUUGACAUGUGUUGAAUUUGAAUUGUGAUAAGAAUUAGAGCCAUUUAUAUGGAACUUCCUGGAGAAAUCUUGACUUAGUAUUGAUUGCUUAAUUAUAUUUUUUUUUUCAAAUUCGACUUGCGUUAAGAAUUUAUAUCGCAAGAUCACAAUUCUUAUGGAUCUCUUUGGAGAAAUUCUGUUCAUUUUGUUUAACAAUAUUUUCCAAAUUUGAAUGGUAUUAAAAAUUGUAAUCUUUUGAUCAUAAUUUAUAUGCAACUCCUUGACGCAAUUUUGAUUAAUUUAUUAAAAUAAUUUUUGAAAUUUGAAAUGAUCAAUUUAUUUAAAUUAUUUUGAGAUUUUAUUUAUGUUUAGAAUUGUUGUCGAAAGAUCACAAUUCUUAGGAAUCUCCUAGGUGUGAUUCUGAUAAAUUUAUUUAAAUAAUUUUGAGAUUUUAUUUAUGGUAAGUGAGAUCAAAGUUCUUAGGAAACUCCUUGGUGUGAUUCUGAUAAAUUUAUUUAAAUUAUUUAGACAUUUUAUUUAUGGUAAGAACUGUUGUCGUAAGAUCACAGUUUAAAGGGAACUCCUUGGUGUGAUUCUAAUAAAUUUAUUAAAAAAUUUUGAGAUUUUAUUUAUGGAAAGAAUUGUUGUCGUGAGAUCAAAGUUCUUAGGAAACUCCUUGGCGUGAUUCUGAUAAAUGUGUUUAAAUUAUUUAGACAUUUUAUUUAUGGUAAGAAUUGUUGUCAUAAGAUCACAGUUCUAAGGCAACUCCUUUGUAGGAUUCUCAUUUAUUUAAAUUUUUUUGAGAUAUUAUUUAUGUUAAGAAUUGUUGUCAGGAGAUAUCACAGUUCUUAGAAAACUCCUUGGUGUGAUUCUGAUAAAUUUAUUUAAAUAAUUUAGAGAUUUUAUUUAUGGUAAUAAUUGUUGUCGAGAGAUCACAGUUCUAAGGAAACUUCUUGGUGUGAUUCUGAUAAAUUUAUCAAAAUUAUUUUGAGAUUUUAUUUAUGGUAAGAAUUGUUGUCGUAAGAUCACAGUUCUUAGAAAACUCCUUGGUGUGAUUCCGAUAAAUUUAUUUAAAUUAUUUUGAGAUGUUAUUUAUGGUAAGAAUUGUUGUCGUUAGAUCACAGUUCUAAGGGAACUCCUUGGUGUGAUUCUGAUAAAUUUAUUUAAAUUAUUUUGAGAUUUUAUUUAUGGUAAGAAUUGUUGUCGAGAGAUCACAGUUCUAAGGGAACUCCUUGGUGUGAUUUUGAUUUAUAUAUAUUUUUUGAGAUGUUAUUUAUGGUAAGAAUUGUUGUCGAGAGAUCACAGUUCUUAGAAAACUCCUUGGUGUGAUUCUGAUUAAUUUUCUUUUAAUUUUUUUUUGAGAUUUUAUUUAUGGUAAGAAUUGUUGUCGUAAGAUCGCAGUUCUUAUGAAACUCCUUGGAGUGAUUCUGAUAAAUUUAUUUAAAUUAUUUUGAGAUGUUAUUUAUGGUAAGAAUUGUUAUCGUAAGAUCACAGUUCUAAGGGAAUUCCUUAGUGUGAUUCUGAUUUAUAUAAAUUUUUUUGAGAUGUUAUUUAUGUUCAGAAUUGUCGUCGAGAGAUCACAGUUCUUAGAAAACUCCUUGGUGUGAUUCUGAUAAAUUUAUUUAAAUAAUUUUGAGAUUUUAUGUAUGGUAAUAAUUGUUGUCGAGAGAUCACAGUUCUUAGGAAACUCCUUGGUGUGAUUCUGAUAAAUUUAUCAAAAUUAUUUAGAGAUUUUAUUUAUGAUAAGAAUUGUUGUCGUAAGAUCACAGUUCUUAGGAAACUCCUUGGUGUGAUUCUGAUAAUAUUAUUUAAAUUAUUUUGAGAUGUUAUUUAUGGCAAAAAUUGUUGUCGUAAGAUCACAGUUCUAAGGGAACUCCUUGGUAUGAUUCUGAUUUAUUUAAAUUUUUUGAGAUGUUAUUUAUGUUAAGAAUUGUUGUCGAGAGAUCACAGUUCUUAGAAAACUCCUUGGGGUGAUUCUGAUAAAUUUAUUUAAAUUAUUUUGAGAUGUUAUUUAUGGUAAGAAUUGUUGUCGUAAGAUCACAGUUCUAAGGCAACUUCUUGGUGUGAUUCUUAUUUAUAUAAUUUUUUUGAGAUGUUAUUUGUGUUAAGAAUUGUUGUCGAGAGAUCACAGUUCUUAGAAAACUCCUUGGUGUGAUUCUGAUAAAUUUAUUUAAAUUAUUUUGAGAUUUUAUUUAUGGUAAGAAUUGUUGUCGUAAGAUCGCAGUUCUUAGAAAACUCCUUGGUGUGAUUCUGAUUAAUUUUCUUUUAAUUUUUUUUUGCGAUUUUAUUUAUGGUAGUAAUUGUUGUCGUAAGAUCACAGUUCUAAUAAUUGUUGUCGAGAGAUCACAGUUCUUAGGAAACUCCUUGGUGUGCUUCUGAUAAAUUUAUUUAAAUUAUUUUGAAAUGUUAUUUAUGGUAAGAAUUGUUGCGUAAGAUCACAGUUUUAAGGGAACUCCUUGGUAUGAUUCUGAUUUAUUUAAAUUUUUUGAGAUGUUAUUUAUAUUAAGAAUUGUUGUCGUGAGAUCGAAGUUCUUAGGAAACUCCUUGGUGUGAUUCUGAUAAAUGUGUUUUAAUUAUUCAGGCAUUUUAUUUAUGGUAAGAAUUGUUGUCAUGAGAUCACAGUUCUUAGGAAUCUCCUAGGUGUGAUUCUUAUAAAUUUAUUUAAAUAAUUUUGAGAUUUUAUUUAUGGUAAGAAUUGUUGUCGUAAGAUCACAGUUCUAAGGAAGUUCCUUGGUGUUAUUCUGAUUUAUUUAUUUUUUUUUUUUUGAGAUGUUAUUUAGGUUAAGAAUUGUUGUCGAGAGAUCACAGUGUUUAGAAAACUCCUUGGUGUGAUUCUGAUAAAUUUAUUUAAAUUAUUUUGAGAUGCUAUUUAUGUUAAGAAUUGUUGUCGAGAGAUCACAGUUCUUAGAAAACUCCUUGGUGUAUAAAGCAUCGGUAUCUUAAGAACACCUUUCUCAUAAAAUUCCUUGAAGUAAUUCUGAUGAAUUUAUUGAGCCUAUUUGGGUUUGACUUGUGUUAAGAACUGGCAUCGUAGAAUGGCAAUUCUUAUGCAAUCUCUUAUUUAUUUAUUAAUUUAUUAUUAUUACAUCAACAGACAUAUUGUCCCUAUGAUGGUUUUCACUUAAAAAUAACAACAAAGCUCGAUAAAACAGUAAACAUAAUACGUAACACAUGGAAAAAUUCUGAUUAAAUUAUGUAUUAAAAAUAUUUUUUUUUUUUAAUUUGAAUUGAUGUUGUACACGAAAAGAAAUCCAAUGAUUUUAUUUAAGUAUGUGUCCAAACAUAUACUUUCUUCUAAGAGUUCAUUCUGUUUCCCAUUAAGAUUUCUUAUGUUUAUAAUAUACGAGGUAAUAUACGCCAAAUCUAGAACCUUCCACACACACUUCAAAUAUAGAAAGAAAUUUCAGCCACCAAUGAACUUUGUUUUGAUUACAACAGCACGAUAGCUAAACACGUGAGCUUCUUUAAGACGAACAGGUAAGUAAAUCUACUGCCGCAUAACGUGUCUAGCUUCUAAUUAAAAUAUAAUUUUAUUAUUAUAUAUUCUUAGGUAGCGUCAGACCGUUACGAACUGGAAUUCUCGUUGGCUACGAAGCAAUUUCUCCAGGAAACCCUGGAGCUACUAUGGGCCACGGAGGAUCCAUCCAAACCUCGAUCCAAACAUUUUAAUGGAAAACUAUACCGAAAAAGUGCUCCCGAAGAAAAUCCAAGAAUUGCCCAAAUAACUCGACGAUAGUUUUGAGGAGAAAAAUUCUGCUAGUCUGCCGACUAGCUCGAAACCGAAGGAUUGGCGCAAAUGUGUUUCCGAGUUUAUUUCUUGUAGUUAAAUUCAAUUAUGGUCUCGAUAAUGACAGUAUGCCAAUAAAUAUAUGUGUGAUAAGUGA